GACGAACGCUGGCGGCGUGCCUAAUACAUGCAAGUCGAACGCAGUGGGGACGGGUGAGUAACACGUGGGUAACCUCCCAUCAGAGGGGAUAACACUUGGAAACAGGUGCUAAACCGAUACUGAUUGAUGUACCCGCGGUGCAUUAGCUAGUUGGUGAGGUAACGGCUCACCAAGGCAACGAUGCAUAGCUGACCUGAGAGGGGGACCGGCCACACUGGGACUGAGACACGGCCCAGACUCCUACGGGAGGCAGCAGUAGGGAAUAUGCGGCAAUGGACGAAAGUCUGACGGAGCAACGCCGCGUGAGUGAAGAAGGUUUUCGGAUCGUAAAACUCUGUUGGUAGAGAAGCGGUAUCUAAACAGAAAGCCACGGCUAACUACGUGCCAGCCGCCGCGGUAAUUC
rnacentral:rRNA from 1 species